GCUGGGUCUUCCAGGAGCGCGCUUGAGCGGACGCUGCCUACCGGUGGCCGGGCGGGAUGUAACCCGCUGCUGAGCUGGCAGCUCUGUGUCGCUAGGCUUCGGCCCGGCCGCCGCCGCACAUAAGCUGCGAGGAGGAGCUUUACGACUUCCCGGUCUUCGGGGCCGGGCGCAGCAAGGGCCAGACUCUGCGCUAGCAGGCGCUGCGCGCCAACCGGCCGGCACCUGUCGCAGAAGGUGCAACCGAUCGCACUGUCGCGCCGAAGCUCCUCAAUGGCCAGCGCCAGCUGCAGCCCCGGCCGCCCACUCGCCUCACCUGAGCCUGGGAGCUUGAAAAAUCACAUUUGAGAAGAGGAUUGGAUCCUAGCCAUAACAUAAAUAUAAGGGUGGAACCAAAGUUUUAAUCAAAGAAGGUGGUGUUCAGUUGCUGCUUACAAUAGUUGAUACCCCAGGAUUUGGAGAUGCAGUGGAUAACAGUAAUUGCUGGCAGCCUGUUAUCAAUUACAUUGAUAUUAAAUUUGAGGACUACCUAAAUGCAGAAUCGCGAGUGAACAGAUGUCAGAUGCCUGGUAACAGGGUGCAGUGUUGUUUAUACUUCAUUGCUCCUUCAGGACAUGGACCAUUACAUAACUGAAGACUCCCACCUUCAGGCAGGAUUGGGUAGUACGUGUUUGUAACUACCUGGCAUUGCCUUUUGUUGAGGUUAGAUCUUGGGACAGCCCACAUACCUAGACAAACUUAGGCUUUCCAGCUUGCACUGGACCAGGGUGGAAAGGAAGGGUAGAUGUCUACCCAAAUGGAAUAUUGAGUAUCAGAGACUUCAAAUGAUAACUUUUGUUUGUUUGGAGAAAAUCUUGAGGACGUGAUCACUGUACAAAAGCAUGGCAAAAUGAGGAAACCACUGACAGGUGAAGAAUUUGCACAAUGGAAAACCACCUUGACCAUCUCAUGACUUUAUACAGGAAUCGGAGUGAGUUGGACUAUGGAUCAGGUACUGUGCUCAGCAUCAGAAAAUGGGAUGACAAUGAACAGAGUAACAGGACUAUAUUUCUGAAAAAGGAUGAACUUACUGGAAACAGGAUUGCGUGCCUGAAAUAUAUCCAAAUGGAUAUAAAUGUCAACUCAGUUCUGGGCUGGAGAUAUAGAUUUGGAAUGCACCAACAAUGCAGAUGGUAAUCCUGGCAUGCGAGUAGGUGAGAUCAUCCAGGGAGAUGGCCUAUAAUGAGAGCCUACAACAUGUCAGGGCUCAAGCACCUCUUACUGCCUCCUCACUCUGGAACCAAAUGCCUUACUGUCUGCACUGCUCCCCAUUGCCUUCCCUCCCGCCUCACCAGUUGAUCCCUAUACCUCCUUCCCAAUGACCUCCAGGAGGCCUCUAACUUACAGUGACAGGAUCACAGAAUGUGAAUUUUGAACAGAUCUGAAAAGUUAUUAAGUUCAACUCCACAGAGGUUCCUAGGAGAAUGUUAACAGUCCAGACCUUUUUCACUACAUCAACCACGGAUGAUUGGCAUAUAAAAUCCUACUUAACCUUUACAUAACUGCAAUACCAGGAAACAAAUAUGUCAAUAAAAGGAAACAUCAUUCAA
rnacentral:lncRNA from 1 species